rnacentral:rRNA from 1 species
UACAGAGGGUGCGAGCGUUAAUCGGAAUUACUGGGCGUAAAGCGCGCGUAGGCGGCUUUGCAAGUCGGGUGUGAAAUCCCCAGGCUUAACCUGGGAACUGCAUUCGAGACUGCAUUGCUAGAGUAUGGGAGAGGGAAGUGGAAUUUCCGGUGUAGCGGUGAAAUGCGUAGAUAUCGGAAGGAACACCGGUGGCGAAGGCGGCAUCCUGGACCAACACUGACACUGAGGAGCGAAAGCCAGGGGAGCAAACGGG